UACGGAGGGGGCUAGCGUUGUUCGGAAUUACUGGGCGUAAAGCGUGCGCAGGCGGCUUGCCAAGUCAGAUGUGAAAGCCCCGGGCUCAACCCGGGAACUGCGUUUGAAACUGGCAGGCUAGAGUUUGGCAGAGGGGGGUGGAAUUCCACGUGUAGCAGUGAAAUGCGUAGAGAUGUGGAGGAACACCGAUGGCGAAGGCAGCCCCCUGGGCCAAAACUGACGCUCAGGCACGAAAGCGUGGGGAGCAAACAGG
rnacentral:rRNA from 1 species